rnacentral:rRNA from 1 species
CGCGUAGGCGGCCGAUUAAGUCGGGGGUGAAAGCCUGUGGCUCAACCACAGAAUUGCCUUCGAUACUGGUUGGCUUGAGACCGGAAGAGGACAGCGGAACUGCGAGUGUAAAGGUGAAAUUCGUAGAUAUUCGCAAGAACACCAGUGGCGAAGGCGGCUGUCUGGUCCGGUUCUGACGCUGAGGCGCGAAAGCGUGGGGAGCAAACA